CCUGAACAAUAUUUUUAUAAUAAAAUUAUUUAUGUAGUUGUGUAUAAAUGCAUAACCAUGGAUAGAAAUUGCCAUAUUAAUUAUCCUCACCACAUUUGGCAUCAUUACAACCUCAACAUGCAAGGUCCCUUUAAACAGCUCUUGUGGCUGCGUCUCAGUUCAGCUUUGGGUUUGGGGAGGAUAAGUUCUCGCUUGAGUGUGGAAAUGAAUUCAUCUUACCUGCUCUUUCCUAUGCCGCAGACUUGUUUGAGAGCUUUUCUCUGUUUCCACAAUAAUCAGUGUUUGAAAGUGCGAGAGGGAGAGAAGAGAAGAGCAUUGUAACAAAUGUGUGGGAGCCCAAGUCAGGGAAUAGACAUGCAUGCUGGGCUCACUGCUGCAGCUCCCUAUCUCAAUACUGAUGCCAGUUUAACUCAACUGUCCUAUGUAGAAACAGACUCGAGCUUUAGCCUUCCCUGGGUAUUUUAUUAUCAUAGUUCUGCUGGGGAAUUCGGAGAAACUGUUAAACCAUCUCCAGAACUGGUUAGAAUUUCAGUCAAGUAAAUGACAGUCACUCCGAAAAGACUUGUGACGCAUUUCUCUUUUGCUAUUUUAAUGUUUUGGUUCAAGUCUAUGAUGGAGGUCUGAAGA
rnacentral:lncRNA from 1 species